CUCUCCUGUGUUCAGUGGUUUAGUACCUGCCCACAUAGCUGUGUGGCUAGAUAUCAGGGACUAGAGAGCCUAUGAACUCUUGCUCCCAAAACAUUGGCACUACAGGAGAUAAGUGUGUGUCUCACUAAGACGUAUUAAGCCUUACAUUUUCCAUAGGUUAACGACUCAAAAGUAGCAUGCAUUUUUGUGUGAUUGACAAGGCAGAGCACUACUUGCACUGCAGCCAGGAUGCAGGCACACAGACAGCUUGUCUCACCUCUGCUUCUUAAAUAAGCAGCAUUUAAAGCACAUAAUGACAAAAGUGCUUGCAAGACCAGUCAAGCUUUUAAAGGGAUAGUUUAGUUUUAAGGCAGUACUGUGUAUGAAAUAGAAACUAAAAUUUCAUUGCACUUGACACAAAUGAAGAUCCCCUCGGACGGCAGGUGCUGAGCCUUGGUUGUUCAGCGAGGAGAACCUUCCCUAUAACUGCCUUCUUCUGCCUGUGUGCAAAUGCACAGGCUGCGAGCUGCAGCAUCUCUCAGGACAGCUUGCUCUGUGAAUUCUCUCCGUGUACAAAUUACAUUACUCUGAGACCAGAGGAAGUAAUUUAAUGCUGGAAUUCUCCAAAGAGUUUGUCUGCUUGUUUUGCUGAGGUGUAGCUAUGUUAUACCAUGCAUAUAAAGCAGUGGGGUUUGACAACCCUCUCUUCUUCACAGUCAUAACUUCUCUCCUGAGAAUUAGAUCAGUGGCUUUAUACUGAGAAUUGCUGGGUACUCGCUACUUCAUUUUCUUUGCAUACCACCCUCAGCUGAAGGCCAAGCCCGAGUGAUGCCUGCAGGGGCAGCCAGCUGCUUCUCACGCUUAGUGAGUGACCAAUGGGCCACAGCUGGGCAACAUGCACCUUCCUUCCCUAUAUAUACCAGCUCUCACACAGCUGAAGUCAUGUAUUUGGGUAUAUCUUCAAGUCCCACCUCAUCCUUGUGGUGUACAGUGAUGAAAAUCUUCUGUGCUGCACAGCUUUUGUUACCUCCUGAGGCACAGCUGUGGGAAAAUAGGAGCUCCAAGAGCCAGGCUGCCCACCAUGGAAGUGGUGCACGGUCACUUCUUUCACCCUCUGCUCAACCCAGCAGUGUGCGCAAAAAACAAUUGUGUUAAUAUAAAGUUUCGCGCAUACCCAGGAACAUGCUACAGGAGCUCAACGCAGCUGUAACACUUCUGAGAAUUGCAAUUUAUAGGUAUUGCAUACUGCAUAAGCAUGCCUCCAUAAAAAUAAAGCCAUCUUUAUCACAGUAAUAAAAGCAUAACUAUGGGAUCCUGCCUUGCUUCUUUGUCAUGAAAGUAGGAAAUUGUAAACACUCCCUAAACUCUCAAAAAAAUCUUUAAGAACUUCCCUAAGCAUUAAAAAUGUUUUCAUUCCCUUCUGAUAUCAGUUCCCUUUGUCUGUGAAACGAAACAGUCAGGGUUCCAAAUAUGCACAUAUAGGCUGUUUUCACACUUGCAUAUAGUGUUCUUCAUAACCAAUGGCUGGCAGCAAAUCAGUUCUUGUAGGGAAGUCUUCUGGCCAGAUCUCCUUCAAUUGCAGCUUGUACAAGAACUGAAUCACAGCAGACUGCACAUCUGACUGUAACACAUGUUUAGGCAAGGAGUUAGAUUUAAUGGUCUUCACUGGAUUCGGGUAUUUAUCACAAAACUGACCUACGUGCUUGACUAAGCAGUUUUUACAAGUAGCUGUAUGAACUGAAGUUAACUGUUAUAUGAAUUUAAUCUCUCUUCUGUGCAUAUGAUGAAAAGCUUGGCAAGAAUUUAGACAGUAGCUAAGGCAGAUCACCAUUGUGGUUAAGGGAUUAUAUAGCUGCUGCUGGUGGCCAGAGACAAAAGAUGUGAUGUUUUAAGUUAGCCCCAAUAGAAACCACAAUGUUUCCAUUAUUAUACAAACAGGGCUUAAAGUCCUUGCCUUUCUUCCCGAUGUGUUAAAAGCAAUUACACUGGUUAAUAAAAUUCAGGGGUGAGUUUUGUUUUUCUCAGAAAAUGGAGUGUGUGGAACCUCUUUGGAAAUCUGUAUGAUGUAGUUUUGCUAAUAUCUGCAACUUUGUAACUAAGAAAACAAGUUCAUGUGUUUCUUGUGUUAAAAACAGAAUGGCCAACAGAGGCUCUAAAAAGCAG
rnacentral:lncRNA from 1 species